rnacentral:rRNA from 1 species
UGGGUGAGUAAUGUAUGGGGAUCUGCCUGAUGGCGGGGGAUAACUACUGGAAACGGUAGCUAAUACCGCAUAAUGUCUGCGGACCAAAGCGGGGGACCUCCGGGCCUCGCGCCAUCAGAUGAACCCAUAUGGGAUUAGCUAGUAGGUAAGGUAACGGCUUACCUAGGCGACGAUCCCUAGCUGGUCUGAGAGGACGAUCAGCCACACUGGGACUGAGACACGGCCCAG